rnacentral:rRNA from 1 species
UUGAUAGUACCUUACUACUUGGAUAACCGUGGUAAUUCUAGAGCUAAUACAUGCUGAAAACCCCAACUUCGGGAGGGGUGUAUUUAUUAGAUAAAAAACCAACGCCCUUCGGGGCUUCUUGGUGAUUCAUGAUAACUUUACGGAUCGCAUGGCCUUGCGCCGGCGACGGGUUCAUUCAAAUUUCUGCCCUAUCAACUUUCGAUGGUAAGGUAUUGGCUUACCAUGGUUUCAACGGGUAACGGGGAAUUAGGGUUCGAUUCCGGAGAGGGAGCCUGAGAAACGGCUACCACAUCCAAGGAAGGCAGCAGGCGCGCAAAUUACCCAAUCCCGACACGGGGAGGUAGUGACAAUAAAUACUGAUACAGGGCUCUUUUGGGUCUUGUAAUUGGAAUGAGUACAAUUUAAACCUCUUAACGAGGAACAAUUGGAGGGCAAGUCUGGUGCCAGCAGCCGCGGUAAUUCCAGCUCCAAUAGCGUAUAUUAAAGUUGUUGCAGUUAAAAAGCUCGUAGUUGAAACUUGGGUCUGGCUGGCAGGUCCGCCUCACCGCGUGUACUUGUCCGGCCGGGCCUUCCUUCUGGAGAACCUCAUGCCCUUCACUGGGCGUGUUGGGGACCAGGACUUUUACUUUGAAAAAAUUAGAGUGUUCAAAGCAGGCCUUUGCUCGAAUACGUUAGCAUGGAAUAAUAGAAUAGGACGUGCGGUCCUAUUUUGUUGGUUUCUAGGACCGCCGUAAUGAUUAAUAGGGACAGUCGGGGGCAUCAGUAUUCAAUUGUCAGAGGUGAAAUUCUUGGAUUUAUUGAAGACUAACUACUGCGAAAGCAUUUGCCAAGGAUGUUUUCAUUAAUCAGUGAACGAAAGUUAGGGGAUCGAAGACGAUCAGAUACCGUCGUAGUCUUAACCGUAAACUAUGCCGACUAGGGAUCGGGCGAUGUUCUUUUUCUGACUCGCUCGGCACCUUACGAGAAAUCAAA